rnacentral:misc_RNA from 1 species
GAUGAAGAACGCAGCGAAAUGCGAUAAGUAAUGUGAAUUGCAGAAUUCAGUGAAACAUCGAAUCUUUGAACGCACAUUGCGCCCCCUGGUAUUCCGGGGGGCAUGCCUGUUCGAGCGUCAUUUCACCACUCAAGCCUCGCUUGGUAUUGGGCAACGCGGUCCGCCGCGUGCCUCAAAUCGACCGGCUGGGUCUUCUGUCCCCUAAGCGUUGUGGAAACUAUUCGCUAAAGGGUGUUCGGGAGGCUACGCCGUAAAACAACCCCAUUUCUAAGGUUGACCUCGGAUCAGGUAGGGAUACCCGCUGAACUUAAGCAUAUCAAUAAGCGGAGGA